rnacentral:lncRNA from 1 species
GAAUGGACAGCACCAAGCGCACCUGCAAGAGACGCCGCGGUAAAUCGUCGCGCCUCCUGCGACAAGAACGGUGUGUAGUCCUCGACUCUGCCCAUUUCGGUGACACGCCAGCACUGGGGUGCACUUGUGCCCGUUGAGAUAUGCAAAGACGAUUCUUCAGAUAGGUCUUAUUUAUGAAAUGUCGUUAACUGGCAACUUACGGCGCACGGAAGCCUUGGUGUUGCGCCAUGCCCGGCCAUCGCUCCGAUCGGGCGCCGCGAUGGGAACCGCAGCGGCCACAAAUACUCGCAGCCGCGCCGGUAUCGCUCCUUUUCCGCCUGUGCGUGAGCGGGCGGGCCAUAAGGCCCUGCCAGCUCCGCAAGGAACAGCACCGACACACCGCUAUCGCAGCUGCAGCCGCCGCGGCCGCAGGUGAGACCGCGCCCCCCGCCCCCCGCCCCCCUGCCCCCCCAUGCAGGCUGUACUGCGGCGGCUGUUGAGCUGGCAAGCAUGUGUGUUGGUGGCUGUGGGCCAUGCGUGCUAGACAGGUGGUGCGGAAUAGCGCGGCGGCUGUGGAGAAUUCUUUGCUCCUGCGCCUGUCUACUGAUGGGGGGACGUGGCCGUUGCAG